AGUGAACGCUGGCGGUAGGCCUAACACAUGCAAGUCGAACGGCAGCACAGUAAGAGCUUGCUCUUACGGGUGGCGAGUGGCGGACGGGUGAGGAAUACAUCGGAAUCUACUUUUUCGUGGGGGAUAACGUAGGGAAACUUACGCUAAUACCGCAUACGACCUACGGGUGAAAGCAGGGGAUCUUCGGACCUUGCGCGAUUGAAUGAGCCGAUGUCGGAUUAGCUAGUUGGCGGGGUAAAGGCCCACCAAGGCGACGAUCCGUAGCUGGUCUGAGAGGAUGAUCAGCCACACUGGAACUGAGACACGGUCCAGACUCCUACGGGAGGCAGCAGUGGGGAAUAUUGGACAAUGGGCGCAAGCCUGAUCCAGCCAUACCGCGUGGGUGAAGAAGGCCUUCGGGUUGUAGAGCCCUUUUGUUGGGAAAGAAAAGCAGCAGGUUAAUACCCCGCUGCUCUGACGGUACCCAAAGAAUAAGCACCGGCUAACUUCGUG
rnacentral:rRNA from 1 species